rfam:Brassica napus, WGS project CCCW01000000 data, contig: 27212
GUGAACGUGCCGGGGUGGUUAUCGGGCAUGACUAGAAAUCAUGUGGCUUUUGCCCGCGCAGGUUCGAAUCCUGUCGUUCACG